GGUGAUCUGCUGAGAUGCUGCCUGACCCUACCGCCUAACUCGAAGCAGUAUUUGUGGCUGAAGAAGGCCAUGACAGGUAGUGAUUCAGGAAUGAGGCUAUCAAUGAGUACCAUCAGUGCAGCACUGGAAGCUUGGAAUUGCUCGAUGCUGAUCCAUACUGGCUUAGAAAGAAAUUCUACUGGAGAAAGAGAGCUUGAAAACAUGCUCCCAGGCCUUAGCAUGGCUGCAGACACCCAAUUGGGUUAUUACAUUAUGAUAUGAGACACCUGGCACCUUGCCCUUGGAGACUGGCCAUUCCAUCGAAUAUGGUCUCUUGGGGACUAGACACCAAAUAGUGUGAGGCGACUGCAAGAGGCUGUAGAGUUGGUUGAAGGUGAACAACGACAUCAUAGCAAACGGUGAGGAAAAUGGAUUCUUCCCCAAAUGUUACCAUCCAGGUGUCUUGAUCAGGUUAAUUUUCUCCGUCGAUUAAAGAAUGAGAAGACA